rnacentral:tRNA from 1 species
GGCGGUGUAGUCAAGUGGUCAACGACGCUCGACUGUAACUCGAGUCCCAUUUGGGUGCGCUAGGUUCGAAUCCUGCCGCCGCCAC